AGAGUCCUUUCAGGAGCAUCCCAGAGAGGGAGGCCUUCUUCCUCCCUGGCCAACCAAACCUCCUAACAGAAGUGCUUCGACAGUGCUCACUGAGCUCUGGGUCAUCCCCUCAUCAUAGCCAGUGGCCCCAAACUCACUCUUGGCUCCAGCCAUGCAGGUAAGGGGAGGGAUUCCUUGGAGGCUUGGCCUUGCACCCUGAGGGAGCUGGGAGCCAGGAGGGACUCAGAUGGAGGGGCAGAGAGAGAGCUGAGGCUGUGGUACGAGGCCCAGAGGCAUCUCCUUCCCUCCUGACAUCAUGGCGAAGCUCCUGCCUAGACCCAGUCUAGGAGCCGGGAAGGGAGAGAGAGAAAGGAAGGGGAGCAAAUGGAGGGGCAGGAAGGGGAGGGCCACAGUGUACAAUGAACCAUAGAUGCCUUUGGCCCCAAGCCAACUUCCUUAGUGAGCUUCUGGAGCCUGGCCAGCCUGGAAAACAUUGCUCCGCUGGUGGGUAAGGAGUGGGCACCUAAAGAGACAGCGCUUUCAUUUCUCCUGAGAGGACUCACUUUCACUUGGGAACCUUGCUGGUGGCUAGAGCAGGAAUGGCUGAGGAGCCGGUUUCAGGUUCUCAAUGAAUAGACAGUGAUCUGGGGCUUUUCUCAAAAAGCCUAAGAUAUUCUCACACAGAACAAAGGCUCCAGAGUAAUAAAGACAAUUCAGAGCUGGGAGGUGGGGGUGGGAGGGUUUCCUCUGACCCAGGAACAGUGAGACUUAGAUGAAGGAACAUGGGCUGGCUAGCUGCAUGGUCCUGGACAAGUUGCUUAACCUCUUUGGGUCUCCAUUUCUUAUCUGACCAAUGGGGCUGAUGCUUCCUUACAGGAUUGCUGUAAGGAGUCAGCAAUGACAGAUGUGGUAACACAUCUGAAAGCACCUGGCACCUUGACCUGGCACAUUGUAGACGCUCAACAAAUUGUUCUUUUUCUCCUGAUGGUGUAGUGUCUUGUCAAGUUUGUGCUUAUCUAUCCAAACCUCCAUCCAGAUAUCUAUCUAUUAUCUAUCUUCAUCACCAUUAUCUGUCAAUCUGUCUAUCCUGUGUUUAAUCUUCCCAAUCAUAUUGUUAGUAUUUUCAUUGCAAGGGGCUUGAAUUGUACUUCUAUGUAGACAUCCAGUAAAUAUGUUAAGAGACUGAUUACCCCUGGUGGCCAGGGAAAGCCAGAUCUUAAGUGAAAGUAGGUAUGAUAAGGCGUCUUAUCUCCCACUUUCAAACAAUGCUUCAUUCUAGUGUUGGCUUCUUCUUAGAUUUUCUUCAGAUCAAGUGAAGAAAUGCCUGGGAGGGGAAUUUCCAGGAAAACUAGGUUCUUCUCCAGUAUUCCCAGGCAUUCUUGCUCCGUGGAUCCAGAAACCCCAGCAACCUCUGCACCACACCUCAUUUCCAAGUGUGACCUCUGGUCUCAGGAGGCCUAAGGUCAGUGUUAGGACGUUCAGGAUGUUCAGAUGUACUGCCCACAGGAUACUGAUCUCAGUGUCCACCUCUUACUCCACAUGGUCAUACUCUCUCCUAAGUGUCCCGGAAAAACAAAGGCAAGAGGACAUAGAUAUGUCUUGCCUUGUACCUCAAUCAUAAUGCAUGCAGGAUACUAAGUCAUAAUAACACCGUACAUUUGUAUAGUGCUUUGCAGUUUUCAGAGCCUUUGGCUGUGCAUAUGCUUUAUCUUUGAGCCAUAUAAUAAUCCUGUGAAGCAGGCAGGGCUUUUUAAAAAAUUGUUAUUUUACAGAUGAGGAAGCUGUGCUAGUCAGCCAGCUAUUAAGGGGUGGAGUCGGCAUGGACUGGAAUCCAGGUCUUUGAAUUUCAAAUCAGCCGCUUACCCAAGUCCAUUCAAUAAUGGUGGGGAGUACAGUGAAACAGAGUUCAACUAAAGCAGAGGACAGAGAAAACCUGUGGGUCUUCCCCUUGCCUGGGACACUGUAGUGGGAAAAGAUUACUUUUUGCACCUGUGCUUCCCAGGAAAUACUGCCUGUCAGAACUGAAUACCCUUCUCACCUGCAAUCCCAGCUGGAACGUCUAGGACAAUCUCAACCCUCUCAUCUUCCUUCUUCCCCCACCCUCAACACCUGAUGGACCCUCACUCUUGAUACCUUGUUCUGUCUUAUCUCCCAACGCCUGGCUCAGCAACUCCUCAUCUUAGAAAUGGGCAUCUCCAAAAAGAGGCCUGAAUGGCUCUGUGCAAGAUGAGCCUUUGAAUUAUAGGAGAAAAUAUUAGAACUUCUAUGGCUUCAAACAAUGGGAGAGAUAUUGUACUUUACUAAUAUUUACUAUGUGCAUGGAUACUGGCUGCUCACCAGUGUGAUAGGAAGACUGUCCAAGGUCAUGUAUAGCUGGGCCAAGCCACGUGAACCUGAGGAUGGAGUGGGGGCUUUACAACAUGGAGGGCUUGGUCUUGCAAUCCUUUGCUUUGGGACCAGGUUAAAUGGAUUGAUGAUUUGUUUUCACCAAAUUAACCCUAAAUUGAUGUGUGGCUUAAAAAAAGAUUAUUGCAAAAAUGAACUACUGAAAGGAGAUAACACUAGUAAUGGAAACAGCAAGAAAAUGGUAGCACUGACACUUCACUCAUCGUCACCUAAUUAAACAUCUUCCAAAUGAAGAGUUUUCAAACUCUUGUUAAAAAUAUAAAAGUGCCAAUGGCAAAUGUGGAAGAACAAUUGAUCGACAUCAGAGAAGAUGACAUUUCCUAACUGAAUUUAGACACAAUUUGCAUAAUUGGUAAGAUAGAAAAAUUAUUAUUAUAGCAAGCACAGCCAAUGUAGUUAGUGCCUUUUCCAUUUGGAUUUCUGCACUUUAGUGAAGUAUCAUUUUUUUCAAUUCUGAAAGUGAUUAGAACUAAAUAUCAAAAUAAUUUGAACUUAAAACUAGUCUUCUAAAUAUCAUAAUGCAGAAGCUUAAUAUGAAAAUAAUACAAACAUGAUAAAACAUAACAACCUCAGUACAAAUAUUAGUUUUCAUAAAAAUUUGUUCCAGUGAAAAGGGUUUUCCUGGGUAUGGUUAACAAAAUAAAAGCUUAAAAAGUAGUGUUAUGUCAUCUUUCAUCUUUAUCUCACCCAUUUAAAUGCUUUUUUUUUUGUAUAUCUUAUCACACAUACCAUAUAUUAGGACAUAAGACAGUCUCUAAAUAAAUUAAUGUACACAGGUUGAGGACAUAGGAUCAAAGUGUGGAGACAGUUGGGCCAGGCUAUUGAGGAAGUUCCUGACUGUUUUUUCAACUUCCAAAUAUAUUCCCCUCUUGACAAUCACCAGGCCGAUCUUCGUAAAAACCCAGAGCGGAUCAGGUCACUUCUCUGAUUUCAGCUCUGUGUUGAGGUGAGUGGGUAGCAAAGGGUGCCAGCCCUAGUUGCUGGGCAACUUCAGGGGCUGGGCAGGCAAUGUGAUGCAUGAAGGCUGAGUGUAACGACUGGUGGGAACCGUGGUAAACAGGAGAGUUCUUUGGCUAAAAACAUUCCAAUCUGAAAAAAUGUAAACCUGGACAGGUGACAAAAAAUACCGCUGUGGCCUGGAUCCUAUGUGGGGGCUGGCAAUGGUAAGUUCGGAGCAGGUCAAGACCAACCUUGUUUCUCUGGAAAACGCUGUGCAUCUCUCCAGCAAGAUGAUGAUGGGGCAUCGCUGAUUUGGAGGUACAGCAUUUCAUCUGUAAACGUGUCUGAACGUACAUCCUUAGGUGCACUCACCAUCUGAAAAUUAGAAAGGCCUACAACCACAAGUGAAACUUCCCUUUUCUCCAGUAUUGCUCUGCCUUGCUCUAGGUUUUUGAGGAAUCUGCCACCCUUGUUUGGACAGAACAAUGUCAAGGAACUCCAGAAGGAGAUGGUGAAGGAUGCUUCCCAGUCCCAAGCAUCUCUGGGCCUUGAUGCUUUCCUGCCUGCCUCAGGAGUUCAAUACACCCAUGAGAGGUCCCCAGAUAGCCCACUGAAGAGCCAGGUCCAGAAGCGAAGUUCCAUGGGGAGUGCUCAGCCCAGCCUUUCUCUCUUCACUGGAUGAGCUGAUCUCUUCUCUGCAGGUGCAAACCCAUAGUAGGGGCCACUGCCCCAGGCUGCUCCGAGCACGCUUUCCGUCAAAGUUGCCAGGGUCUCAGAGGCUGGAUGAUCAGGUGACUGUGCCCUGCCUUGCUGUCCUGCUCUGGAGCAGCACUCUUUGCCCUCGGUUGGCAGCCAGUUCUAGGGGCUGAGCUGACAUGCUCAUUCCCCUGUCCCCCAGCCCUUAGCCGCUGAGCAGGGCUGGGCUGCAGCAGCCUCUGUGCUCACCCCACCCACCCAUUACCUGCUGUCUCCCCACCUGAGCAGGCCCUCCACCUGCCCACGAUGAAUUUUUCCAUCACUCACCCUGAGAGGCCUCCAGGCCAAACAACCCUGCCUGCUACCUGCCCUGGCAAGUGGGCAGCCUGCUCCAGAAGACACCCUAAGGAAGACACAGAAAUGCCCAGCCAGAACAAUUGGCCAGAAAUCUGGCUCGAGCUGUCUUCAUGAAAAAGAGAUACUAAAUGAAUCUUCACGAAAAAAAGACACUAAAUGAACUUGAAUGGGUGGAUGAAAGCUUCUCUCAUCUUAAAAGGUCACCUCCUUUUACGAGGUCACCAACACAUCCACUAAUUGCAAUUCCCCCUUCUUCCUGUUGGAGUCUUAAUGUAAGAGCUCCUCGUGAAGCUGGGUCCUCUUGCCUCCCUCCAUUUGCUCCCCUCUAUUACACCCCACCCCACCCUCUUUCUAAAAUGCAGAUCCCAUCAUGUCACUCCCUUCCUCAAAAGCCAUCAGUGGCUCCCCAUUGCCUCUAAUAGAAGUUCUAAAUUCCAAAUCAUGCUCGUUCAGGCCCUUCAUGGUCUCUUCCAGCUGCCUUCCCUAGUCCUUACUCCCAUUACAGGCUCACUUUCAGCAUGCUUUAACCUACAUCCCAGACACAGCAAGCAAGUUCUGCCUUCUUUGCCAUUAUGCUUUUGUUUCUUUUACCUGGAGUAAUACCCGCCCUUUCCCAUUUCCCCGCUCUUGAAACCGUACUCAUCCUUCAAGACACACUUCAAAUGGCUCUUCCUUUUCAGAACCUCCUAGCUCAAGUGACUCUCUUUUGUCCCAUAGCACUUUGUCCCCAUAACACAGCCAAGUGCUAGAGUUGAUUGAAUGCACAUUUUUCUUCCCCAGUAAUAAAAUCUCCUUGAAGUCA